UACGGAGGGUGCGAGCGUUGUCCGGAAUCACUGGGCGUAAAGGGCGCGUAGGUGGCACGGGUAGUCGUCGGUGAAAGCUCAGGGCUCAACCCUGAGUCGGCCGGUGAUACUCCCGAGCUCGAGUGUGGUAGAGGCCAAUGGAAUUCCGGGUGUAGUGGUGGAAUGCGUAGAGAUCCGGAGGAACACCAGCGGCGAAGGCGGCAUCCUGGACUGGUCCUGACACUCAUGAGCGAAAGCGUGGGGAGCGAUCCGG
rnacentral:rRNA from 1 species